CAGAGUUUUGAUUUCUUAACUGAAAUCGACCUCCAACCCUUUAUGUAUUGCCAUUCUCUUGUUGCCUCGGGAGAUGAGUUUCGUUUGGAGGGCCCUUCACCGGGUCUUCCACCUGAGACUGCUCCCGGUGGACAUUUACAAACUCGUUUAUUCAUUAAAGUCUGAGUUAUUUGAUUAAAUCAAAACA
rnacentral:misc_RNA from 1 species